AGUCUGAUCUCUGACGGAGAAUGGGCGGUGGAUCGAUUUCUGUUAAGUCGAUGUCAAGGAACGACUGAGAUAUUUCUUCCAAAGAGAACGAAACAGGCCUGGUCUUGUCAAAACGCUUAUCUUCCAUCAGACACUUGAUCAAAACAUCAUGAUUUUCCUGAUUGUGCUUUUUGUAUUAGCUUGUAUGAUGUUCUUGCUGCACCUCCACGAGUAUGCUUUUGUAUGCGAAUAGAUGCGGCUUCCUUCCUUAGGGUUUCCAUUAGAGAUUGUAAUUGUUGCUGCAUUUUUGGAGCACAAUGAAGGAUAUGAUCAUAUGAGUUUAGGAUCUACAAAUGAAGAAAGUCCUCACAUUAUGCAGAGAUUUACAUACCUUAAAGCGAGUUCCAAUGGAAGAGAAUUUUGAUUGCUUAGAUGAAUCCUCCAAUGGUGGGAAGAGAUUUGCUACAAAAGAGCACUUUGAGUCAUUUAGCAGAGCUUGAAAUUCUGCUACAACGUAAUCCUUGUUCUUGUCCAGGAAGUGGUCAGCUUGGACAUAAAGUUCUGCUUACAUCUCCUGCAUAAUGGUUGAUUGUGAAGUUUGUUCUAGACAGUUUUGGCUUGCUGAACCGUUUGUGUGAGGUAUAUGUCUGGUACAUCUUCUGAGCAAAUGUCUCGUGUGUUGACUUGGGAAACAUACUGCAAAUAGGGUAGAUAAACCUUUAUAUUAUCAACAAGUUGCGCUACAGUAAUAAAUCUAGUUUAUCCACUCUGAAGUACAAUGUAGUACUGUAUAUCUUCAAGGCUACUCCUGAGAUGAUAUGGUCAGGACAUUCAAAGUAGCACAAUUACUUACCAUGCUUCGUCAAGAAGAGCAAUGAUACCCCCAGGUUUCUGCAUGAAUCACAAGUUAUAGAAGUUAUCUUCUAGGAUUCUGUGGCGUUAGCCAUGCUAAGUUUUAGUAAGUUGAUUAGGUUCAAACAUGAGGAGCUCUGCUGCUGUACGGAGAUGAAAGAGUGACUUGUCAUCUUUUACUUUUGAAGAAUCAAAUUCCUUUCCUUUGAUGAAGUCAACAUUUCCAAGAUGAAGAAUUGCAGCUACAACACGGAAUAUUGCAUCCUACAAAAGUUUCUCUUUUAGAAGUUUCUUCUUUACUGAGAGCUUGUUGACUUUCGGAUUUUGACUUACAUAUAUCUCAUUGAGAGAAAACCGAGCGGCAAGAUUAUAGAGCACUCCUGGCUCAUGAAGGUAGAUUUGGUAGCUCCAGAAAUUCAAAAGAUUCCAUGGAUAAUAUGCUGCCGUAGAGUAUUAAGCAUUGUUGCCUUUGAUAUCUGUCACCUCUCCGUCGAUCCAUGCAAGUUCAGGAUCUUCUGCCCAAACAUGUGAUCCAACGAUAAUAUUCACUGGAGUUCCCUGCAACCAUCAAACAAGAAAUAAAAAAAGGUACACGUUACUAUAUUUUGAUCAUAAUACUUUCAGACCGGAACAUGAACUUCGUGAUCAUAAAGAAAUAAUUAUACCAUCUGUCCAAGACUAUGGGAUCAUUAAACACAAAAGAUAUACAGAAAGAAUUGCAGAAAGAGAAAGAGAGGAAAGAGAGUUUGAUGAAAUGAUGAGUUGGUAGAAUGUAGAUAUAACAAAAAAGUGGGAAAAGAAUGUGAAAGAGAAUGUUUCAAAGAGAAUGGAAAGCACAAGGUGGUGGUGGUGGUAGUAGUGAUGGUAACUCAAAAGCAAAAGAAGUAGUAGUCACCCCACCCCCACCCCAACCCCCCAACCUCCUGUCAUUUCUUUUUUUAAGUACUAUUUAAUACUUUAAUUAUAUCAUGUAUACAUGUCAUUAAUAUCUUUUAAUAUUAUACUCCUACAAAGGACUAAUAAAAUCUGAAUGACAUUGUCAUUUAGAGUUGGCAAAGGGCCUAAAAGGUGUUCAAGGUAUUCACAUGCAUACACCUUGAAGGCCAGGGCGGAACUAGGUGGGAUUUAGGGUUGGCCAUCGGUCACCUCGAAAAAUUUAACGUUAAUGUAAUAUUAGUAUAAUGUUUAGUUUUGUUUUCUUAUUUGUAACUCAUGGUGCAGCUUGAAAAUUUUAUGGCUUUUUAUGUACAAUACUGUAUUUAAUUGUAAUGUUAGUACUUUUUUUAUGUACAA